AACGCCCCGCAGGGGAGUGGCAGACGGGUGAGUAACGCGUGGGAAUCUACCGUGCCCUGCGGAAUAGCUCCGGGAAACUGGAAUUAAUACCGCAUACGCCCUACGGGGGAAAGAUUUAUCGGGGUAUGAUGAGCCCGCGUUGGAUUAGCUAGUUGGUGGGGUAAAGGCCUACCAAGGCGACGAUCCAUAGCUGGUCUGAGAGGAUGAUCAGCCACAUUGGGACUGAGACACGGCCCAAACUCCUACGGGAGGCAGCAGUGGGGAAUAUUGGACAAUGGGCGCAAGCCUGAUCCAGCCAUGCCGCGUGAGUGAUGAAGGCCUUAGGGUUGUAAAGCUCUUUCACCGGAGAAGAUAAUGACGGUAUCCGGAGAAGAAGCCCCGGCUAACUUCGUGCCAGCCGCCGCGGCAUACA
rnacentral:rRNA from 1 species